rnacentral:rRNA from 1 species
AGAGAUUCCUCGAGUAACGGCGAGUGAAAGGGGAGAAGCUCAGCGUGUAGCCUCGGGGAUGCCCUCCAAGUGAGUGUGUUAAUCCUACGAUGGGAUGCCACGUAUGGGAGAAAGCUUGAAGAGUCCGCGACCCGGCAAUCCGAACUGUUUGAUGAAACAUUGCCCAGAGAGGGUGUUAGGCCCGUAGGACCGCAGCGUGUCGUGACUUUUCGCGGCUUUCUCUCGAGAGUCGGGUUGUUUGAGAAUACAGCCUUAAGAGGUGGGAAACUCCAUCUAAAGCUAAAUAUUACUGCGAGACCGAUAGCGAACAAGUACCGUGAGGGAAAGUUGAAAAGGACUCUGAAGAGAGGGUUCAAGAGAGCGUGAAACUGCCACGGGGAUAAAGCGGAUACAUUAGCGUAGUCGAAAAGGGAGAUACAACUCGUUGGCCGUCGACCGCUCGACAACGACGACCGUAGGGAACUAUCCCCCGCGUUCGGUCGCUCACGCGUCCGGACGUGUUUUGGUGUUCUUGGUUCCUCUCGGCGUCGUACGAGUAAGCGUACGUUCGCUAACGAGUCUACUUCACACCUUAGUAGGCCGUCGCGACGGUCGGAGAGUUGUCGAAGGCUAUAAACAAGGUAGGCCGCGGGAACCUUUCGCCGCGCGGCGAGAACGGGACUUCGGUUCCCUCUCGCCGUCGUCGACGAAGGGGGACGCUACCUAGAAAUUACUGACGGACUUUCCGACCGGAGAAAUAAACGUCGCGCCAUUAGGUGCGACGUAAGUGCGGCGCUCAUAGCGAUCAAUUUAUCCGUCCCGUCUUGAAACACGGACCAAGGAGUCUAACAUGUACGCGAGUCAAAGGGCUUACUAAACCCCUAGGCGUAAUGAAAGUAAACUUGCGGAUCGAUCCGCGCUCUUCGCUCCUCACGGACGCGAAGACCGGCGCAGAUCCGGGACCCGUCUUACUGCUUUUCUUCGGAAUCGUUCAAGUGGCGGGUACCUAGAGUGUACACGUUGGUACCCGAAAGAUGGUGAUCUAUGCUUGGCCGGGAUGAAGCCAGAGGAAACUCUGGU